CCCUUAGAGUUUGAUCCUGGCUCAGGACGAACGCUGGCGGCGUGCCUAACACAUGCAAGUCGAACGAGUCCAGGUCUUCGGACCUGAGGCGAGUGGCGGACGGGUGAGUAACACGUGAGCAAUCUAUCCUGUUGCGGGGGACAACGAGGGGAAACCUUCGCUAAUACCGCAUGGUCGAGAACCUCGAUGGGGUUUUCGGGAAACGUGGCCUCUUAGCAAUGCUACGGCGAUGGGAGGAGCUCGCGGGCUAUCAGCUUGUUGGUGAGGUCAUGGCUCACCAAGGCGACGACGGCUACGGGGUCUGAGAGGACGACCCCGCACAUUGGAACUGAGACACGGUCCAGACUCCUACGGGAGGCAGCAGUGGGGAAUAUUGGGCAAUGGCCGAAAGGCUGACCCAGCGACGCCGCGUGUGGGAGGAAGCCCUUCGGGGUGUAAACCACUGUCAGGAGGGACGAAAGAGUCGGGGGUGAAUAAUCCUCGGCAGUGACGGUACCUCCAAAGGAAGCACCGGCUAACUCUGUGCCAGCAGCCGCGGUAAUACAGAGGGUGCGAGCGUUGUUCGGAAUUACUGGGCGUAAAGCGCGCGCAGGCGGGUCCUGUAAGUCGGAAGUGAAAUUUCGGAGCUCAACUCCGAAGCUGCUUCUGAUACUGCGGAUCUGGAGAUCGGUAGAGGUCGGUGGAAUUACAGGUGUAGCGGUGGAAUGCGUAGAUAUCUGUAAGAACACCCGUGGCGAAGCGCCGACUGGGCCGAUCUGACGCUGAGCGCGAAAGCGUGGGGAGCAACAGAUAGAUACCCUGGUAG
rnacentral:rRNA from 1 species